GAGAGGGGGGAGAGAGAGCGCCGCUCUCCUCCCGGGAUGGGAAGUGUUUAGUAUCGAGCGCACCCGCUCCGUCCUGCACUCCUCGGCUCGUCUCUGACCGACGGCAAGACUCUCAGUGAAGAAACAAGAAGAGACGCGCGUGAAGGAUACGUGAAGACGCUGCGUCACCGGCCGACACAGUGAGGAUCUCCUUCUGUCCCCCCGUCAUACUUCUCAUUGUCCCGCCUGUCCUAGCUUCCAUCUGAACCACCGUAUGGAGAAAAGCUAAUAACAGCUCCCUCACUGUUCCUCCACAGUAAAGCUCUCCCUCCUUCACCCCCGCCCUCUAUUAUCUUCAGCCUUACCCUCCAUUACAUCCCCCCCUCACCCUGCUGUAUCUCAGGGGCAUAUGUCAAGAGGAAGCAAGCAUCUGCUCCUUGAGAGGGAUUUUGUGUCCGGCACUGUGCUGUUCUGUGCCAGAGGUCCGUCAGUCUCACGGCGGCAGUAUGGUCAUGUACUGCCUGGCGAGAAAGUGGGACAUGAACCCAGAGGGAGGCUCGGCUUGAUUUCAUUUUGGGUGUCUGUAUCUAAGUGGGAUUCUCUGAGUGUAUAUCUGUGUAGCACUGUGACAUACGAGAGGUGGUAGGAAGAGGAAUC
ensembl:lncRNA